rnacentral:rRNA from 1 species
GAUGAACGCUAGCUACAGGCUUAACACAUGUAAGUCGCGGGGCAGCAUGGGGGUUGCUUGCAAUCCCCGAUGGCGACCGGCGCACGGGUGAGUAACGCGUAUCCAACCUGCCCUUCACCACGGGAUAACCCGGCGAAAGUCGGACUAAUACCGUAUGUUGUCCAUUGACGGCAUCCGAUUUGGACGAAAGGUUUGGCGGUGAAGGAUGGGGAUGCGUCCGAUUAGCUGGACGGCGGGGUGACGGCCCACCGUGGCGACGAUCGGUAGGGGUUCUGAGAGGAAGGUCCCCCACACUGGAACUGAGACACGGUCCAGACUCCUACGGGAGGCAGCAGUGAGGAAUAUUGGUCAAUGGGCGUAAGCCUGAACCAGCCAAGUAGCGUGCAGGAUGACGGCCCUAUGGGUUGUAAACUGCUUUUAUGCGGGGAUAAAGUGGCCCACGUGUGGGUUUUUGCAGGUACCGCAUGAAUAAGGACCGGCUAAUUCCGUG